GACGUAGGGCGCGAGCGUUGUCCGGAUUUAUUGGGCGUAAAGAGCUCGUAGGCGGCUUGUCGCGUCGAAUGUGAAAUCUCAGGGCUCAACUCUGACAUUGCAUUCGAUACGGGCAGGCUCGAGUUCGGUAGGGGAGACUGGAAUUCCUGGUGUAGCGGUGAAAUGCGCAGAUAUCAGGAGGAACACCGGUGGCGAAAGCGGCGCGCUGGAUCCCUACUGACGCUGAGGCACGAAAGCCAGGGGAGCAAACGGG
rnacentral:rRNA from 1 species